ACCACCGAGCGGCGGGUA
rnacentral:snRNA from 1 species